ACCCCUCCCCCUCUCUCCCUCUCCUCCCUCUCUCACACGCACGCACACAGAGAAUUGACCAUGAGGAAGUCGAGCUGCGGCCAUGUGAUCGGAGUGCCUGUGACCUCCAAGGCGUACGCCUUAGAGGAGGCGACCACCAGGGGCGCCGGGGCGGCCAAGAAGGACGGUGACCGCCUCGCCGUCUCGUUGACCCACCCGAGCCCCUACGCGUCCUUCGGCUACAAACACAGUAGCAAGGGUCAGGUGAUCCAUUGGGUGAACAAGCUGGGCAGACGGGCUCAGGGCUUCAGAGACCACGUGACCUUGGGGCCGAAGCUGUCGGAGACGGUGAAGGGGAAGCUUAGCCUGGGCGCGAGGAUCCUGCAGGCUGGCGGCGUGGAGCGGGUGUUCCGGCAGGCCUUCUCGGCCGAGAAGGGCGAGCGGCUGGUGAAGGCGCUGCAGUGCUACCUCUACACCACCAGCGGGCCCAUCGCCGGGAUGCUCUUCGUCUCCACCAGGAAGAUCGCCUUCCGCAGCGACCGGUCCCUCACCGUCACCUCGCCCGCCGGCGACGUCGCUCGGGUGCCGUACAAGGUGGUGGUGCCGCUGGGGAGGAUCAAGGGGGUGCAGCCGAGCGAGAACGCCGACAACCCAGAGCAGAAGUACAUACACAUGGCCACCGUGGACGGGUUCGAGUUCUGGUUCAUGGGCUUCGUGAGCUACCAGAGGUGCUGCAAGUACAUGCAGCAGGUCAUCUCGUCCCAGUUGUGA
rnacentral:rRNA from 1 species